rnacentral:rRNA from 1 species
UACGAAGGGGGCAAGCGUUGUUCGGAUUUACUGGGCGUACAGGGAGCGUAGGCGGUUGGGUAAGCCCUCCGUGAAAUCUCCAGGCUUAACCUGGAAAGUGCAGAGGGGACUGCUCGGCUAGAGGAUGGGAGAGGAGCGCGGAAUUCCCGGUGUAGCGGUGAAAUGCGUAGAGAGCGGGAGGAAGGCCGGUUGCGAAGGCGGCGCUCUGGAACAUUUCUGACGCUGCGGCUCGAAAGCGUGGGGAGCAAACAGG